AUGGAUCGUGAGGUCCUGGAGCGUAUACUUGAUGGAAGAGAGAAGCCGACAAAUCUAUCACUCGCACUUUUGAAGGAUAUCACAGAAAAUUUCUCGGAUGAUCAAGAAAUCGGUCACGGUGGAUUUGCAACUGUUUAUAAGGGAGUGCUUCGUAAUGGGAACGUUGCUGUAAAGAGGAUAAGGAACAGUCAUUCAAUCAAUGAGACAUUAUUUUAUCGAGAAGUUGACAGCCUGUUGAACAUUAAACAUAAAAACGUCGUACGCUUUCUUGGCUUCUGUGCUAGCACAGAUCAGAUAGCCAUACAAAUUGCAGGAUCAAAACGACAUAUUUAUGCUGAGGUAAGAGAAAGACUACUCUGUUUUGAGUAUAUCAGCAAUGGAAGUCUACAAAAGUAUGUUACUGAUGAAUUAAGAGGACUGGAAUGGAAUACACGCUAUGGAAUAAUUAGAGGAAUCUGUGAAGGUUUGCAUCAUCUGCACACGGAGAAGCACAUAUAUCAUAUGGAUUUGAAACCUGGCAAUAUACUACUAGAUAAUGAUAUGGUGCCGAAAAUCACAGAUUUCGGUUUAUCAAGACUUGAUGAAAAGUCAAAAACCAUGAGUGAAUACCGUCUCGGAUCACUAGGAUAUUGUGCUCCAGAGUACAUAUCUGAAGGAAAUAUGUCAUUCAAAUCAGACAUGUACAGUUUGGGAAAAAUAAUCAUCGAGCUAGUGACGGGAGGAAAGGAGAUCCUCAAUAAUAGCAACACUGUACUUAGGAGAUGGAGGCACAGAUGGAAAAAGUCAGGAAAGGAAACACCACUGGUUUACCAACAAGUAGCAAAAUGCAUCGAAAUUGGGUUACUCUGCCAAGAACGUGAACCAUCCAAGCGGCCCUUUAUAUGGGAUAUAAUAAAUGAUAUCAGCCACAUGGAAGUUGUAAACGAGGAAAUCAACAAUGCCAAUGAAUAUACAUUUGGGAAGAUAAGCUCUUGCCUGGAGGAGGAUGAUAUGCUUGGAAUUGAGCCACUCAAACUACAUUUCCCUUUUGCCCUUAACAAACAGAUGUCCUGCGAGAUUCAACUAACCAAUGAGACGGACUCUUACAUUGCCUUCAAUGUCCAAAAUAUGAGCCCCAAGUCAUACAACACACAACCGCAGAAAGACAUUAUGCCACCACGAUCCAAGUGUAACAUUGAAAUAACACUGCAGGCGCAAGGCAAUGUGCUGAUAGAUAUGCAGCAUGCCAAUGAGUUUGUUGUGUGGAGCACCAAAGUGAAUGAUGGUAUUGCAUUUGAGGAUAUUACUAAAAGCAUGUUCAUCAAAGAGACAAUCAAUGUGGUUGAUGAGGUGAAUUUGGAUGUGGUUUUUGAUGUAAGUGAGCCACAAGAAGCAAGUGACAAAAUCAGUGAGGGCAAUGCCCUCACAGAUCGUGCCAAUGAAUCUACUGUGUGGAGCACCAAAGUGAUGAUUGAUGGCCUUGCAAUUGAGGAUAUAACUACAAACAAGCUCAUUAAAGAGGCAGACACCAUGGUUGAUGAGGUGCACUUGGAUGUGGUUUUUGAUGCCAAUGAGGUGCAUUUGGAUGUGGUUUUUGAUGCCAAUGAGCAGACAAUGCCACCUUUAAUACAGAUCAUAGAUGAUACAGCUGGGAAAAUCUAUUGCAUAGAUGCACAUCAGAAAGAGCCGUUGAUUAUAGUGGGUACCUCACUUGGGAAUGUUAAGACAUGGAACUAUAACACACAGAAAGUGGCCGGUUUGACUAAGGUCUCAGCAGAACCUGUUACGGAUGUUAAGUUCAUUGCACGAAAGGGAUGGUUUGUGGCAGUGUCAUCUGAUUGUGUCGUCCAUGUGUACAACUACGAAAAGAAAAUGCGAAAAGUCACAAGUUUCAGAGCUCUGGGUCGUGCAGACGUUUGGUGUACAUUAGCCGUUCAUCCAACCCAGCCGUAUGUGCUGUCAGGAUGUGCUACCGAAAUAAAGCUUUGGGACCGUAAUUGCAUACAGACAUUUGAAGAGCACUCGGCUGCUAUUAUGGCCCUGAAAUUUAACCCGGCGGACACCAACAGUUUUGCAAGUGCUUCGCAUGAUACUACAAUAAAGGUUUGGAGUCUCGAUUCUCCCAAAUCCAAGUAUACUCUUUUUGGGCAUAGGCAUGUAGUGAACUUCCUGGAUUUCUUCACGCGUGAGGGUCAGCAGUAUUUGAUUAGUGGCUCCUGGGAUGCGACUGCGAAGAUAUGGGACAUGGACAAGAAGGAGUGCGUUCAUACACUUGAACAUGAGUCUGCAGUUUUUCAGGUCGUUUCCCAUCCCAAUCUUCCAGUUCUAAUUACAGGUACAAAGGAUGGUGAUGUUCACGCGUGGAGCUCAAAUGAUUUCAGGCUCAAGAGAAUACAUAACUUUCAUGACAGUGGAUGGGUUGUGGGUCUCGCAUGUUUGGUGGGAUCAGGAAGGCUUGUAGUUGCACACAAAACUGGAGUGUCGUUGAUGGAAAUUCGUGAUGAAGAAGAACAAGGUGGUAGCACAGGCAGCAAUGAUAAUUCUUUAUCAGCGACAAAUUUGGACAUCCAAAGCUAG
rnacentral:rRNA from 1 species